GCCUCCUACAAAGGCGUGCUAGCGCUUUCUAUGUGCUUGCACGUAAGAACUGGAGGUAGAGGAAAAAAAGAAUGGCAUCCUCAAUUGUGCACAUUUUUUAUUUUA